rnacentral:rRNA from 1 species
CAAUAGCGUAUAUUAAAGUUGUUGCAGUUAAAAAGCUCGUAGUUGGAUUUCUGGUUGAAGCGACCGGUCGGGCGUUGAUUCGUCUGCACUGGAGUCGGUUUUGGCCAUCCUCUAGGAAAGUGCGUCUGGUAUUAAGUUAUCGGGCGUAUGAUCCUGGUCUUUUACUGUGAAAAAAUUAGAGUGUUUAAAGCAGGCCUUCGCCUUGAAUACAUUAGCAUGGAAUAAUAAGAUAGGACUUUGGUCUAUUUUGUUGGUUUGCAGACCGAAGUAAUGAUUAAUAGGGACAGUUGGGGGUAUUCGUAUUCCGUUGUCAGAGGUGAAAUUCUUGGAUUUACGGAAGACGAACUACUGCGAAAGCAUUUACCAAGGAUGUUUUCAUUAA